UACGGAGGGGGCUAGCGUUGUUCGGAAUUACUGGGCGUAAAGCGCACGUAGGCGGCUUUGUAAGUUAGAGGUGAAAGCCCGGGGCUCAACCCCGGAAUUGCCUUUAAGACUGCAUCGCUAGAAUUGUGGAGAGGUAAGUGGAAUUCCGAGUGUAGAGGUGAAAUUCGUAGAUAUUCGGAAGAACACCAGUGGCGAAGGCGACUUACUGGACACAUAUUGACGCUGAGGUGCGAAAGCGUGGGGAGCGAUCCGG
rnacentral:rRNA from 1 species